CCUACGGGGGGCUGCAGUGGGGAAUAUUGGACAAUGGGGGGAACCCUGAUCCAGCCAUGCCGCGUGUGUGAAGAAGGCCCUCGGGUUGUAAAGCACUUUCAGUGAGGAAGAACGCCUGGUGGUUAAUACCCAUCAGGAAAGACAUCACUCACAGAAGAAGCACCGGCUAACUCCGUGCCAGCAGCCGCGGUAAUACGGAGGGUGCGAGCGUUAAUCGGAAUUACUGGGCGUAAAGCGCGCGUAGGUGGCUUGAUAAGCCGGUUGUGAAAGCCCCGGGCUCAACCUGGGAACGGCAUCCGGAGCUGUCACGCGAGCGGGUAGGAGAGGAAGAUGGACAUCCCAGUGGAGCGCUGACAUGCGCACAGACCUGGAGGAGUCGCAGUGGCGAAGGCGGCCUUGUGGACUGACACUGACACUUGUGUGCGUGCCCCUGAGUAGCAAGCGGGCGUCAAGACCCUUGUAGUC
rnacentral:rRNA from 1 species